GACUUCCCUCCUUGAGCUAAGAGACUUCCUGUUUAAAAGCACUUGCAAGACCUGCUGACCCCAUUUCUUUUCUGAUUUAAUUAUUCUUUUUGAAAGUUGCCUCCAACCUGAAGGGGAUUUGAAAGGUAAGUCUCCAGUGGGAAUGAAGCUUUAGACCCAAUUCCUUUUUCUGUUGAACAGCCUGGCAGGGGAACAAUUUGUCCCCUGCCCUGAGCGCUGUCGUUUGUUUUGAUCAUUUUCAUUCCCUAUCAAGUGUGCUGCUGGCUCAGAAGGCAGCCAUCUGAUGUCUGAAGUGACUCCUUCCAUUACUUCCUUGUCUUUUCGCUAGUAACAAGAUAUGCCCCCAGAAUAUGCCUGUUGGUGAUUAAGAAGCUGGAGUGUGUGUGCAUGGCUAUGGAUUUAAUAACCCUAUGGAGAAAAUAUACUGGCACAAUAAGAAUGGUUAUUAUUUGCUGAUGAGCUCUUCUGUGCCUGUUUGUCUCAUUUACCCCCUUACAACAGCCGUAUGAGUAGUUAACUCUUGUCUCCAUUUUACAGACCAAGAAACAGAGGCUCAGAGAUGUUAUGUAAAUUGCCCAAGGUGACAAAUAGAAAGUGACCAAUCUGGACCUUCAUCCCAAGGAAUAUGAUCUUAACCACUUUUCCAUACUGGCCCCCGAGUGGAAGAGUCUACUUUUCUAAGAGAUCUGGAGUCAGACCCUCUGUAGGCAUAUGCGUUGGCAGCCCCCGGCUUGAAAAAGUAACCUCACAGUGUGAGUAAGUGCCAUGCUGGAGGUGACCUCAAGAUGCUUUGGAAGUACCAAGAAGAGGAACUUAACCAGGCCUGGAAGUUCAGAGGAUACUUCCUGUAAUGUCACCUGACCAGGGUCAUGUGCCAUUAGUGGGUGAGGUCUAGAAGGAGAGUGACAGAGGGUUGGGCAAUGGGUGGAGUUGGGGAGCUGUUUAAGCAGAUGGAACAGCUUAAGAAAGGGCUCAGAGGUGGUAGCAGCAGCCUUUGGAUCCUCUAUGCCUACUGAUCUGCAUUUGGCCUUCUACCCUGACCCCUUCCCAGAGGGGCUGGUGUCUCUAGCUCUUGCAUCACUAACAGACAA
rnacentral:lncRNA from 1 species